rnacentral:rRNA from 1 species
GAUGAACGCUGGCGGCGUGCUUAACACAUGCAAGUCGAACGAAGCACUUAAUGAGAUUUCUUCGGAUUGAUUAUUUUGUGACUGAGUGGCGGACGGGUGAGUAACGCGUGGGUAACCUGCCCCAGACCGGGGGAUAACAGUCGGAAACGACUGCUAAUACCGCAUAAGCGCACAGUGCCGCAUGGCACGGUGUGAAAAACUCCGGUGGUCUGGGAUGGACCCGCGUCCGAUUAGUUAGUUGGUGGGGUAACGGCCCACCAAGACUGCGAUCGGUAGCCGACCUGAGAGGGUGACCGGCCACAUUGGGACUGAGACACGGCCCAGACUCCUACGGGAGGCAGCAGUGGGGAAUAUUGCACAAUGGAGGAAACUCUGAUGCAGCGACGCCGCGUGAGCGAAGAAGUAUUUCGGUAUGUAAAGCUCUGUCAGCAGGGAAGAUAAUGACGGUACCUGACCAAGAAGCCCCGGCUAACUACGUG